rnacentral:rRNA from 1 species
GACGAACGCUGGCGGCGUGCCUAAUACAUGCAAGUCGAGCGAAGCGGCGGAUGGGUGAGUAACGCGUGGGUAACCUGCCCUUAAGGCUGGGAUACCAUUUGGAAACAGAUGCUAAUACCAGAUACUAAAGGAUGGACCUGCGAUGCAUUAGCUAGUGGGUAAGGUAACGGCUUACAAAGGCGAUGCUGCAGAGCGGAGUUGAGAGGCUGAUCGGCCACAUUGGGACUGAGACACGGCCCAAACUCCGACGGGAGGCAGCAGUAGGGAAGCUUCCACAAUGGGCGAAAGUCUGAUGGAGCAACGCCGCGUGAGUGAAGAAGGUUUGCGGAUCGUAAAGCUCGGUUGUUGGGGAAGCGGUAAUCAACCAGAAAGUCACGGCUAACUACGUGCCAGCAGCCGCGGUAAUUC